rnacentral:lncRNA from 1 species
GUUACAGCCUCACAACAACAGAGAUCACAGUAGGUUACAGCCUCAUAACAACAGAGAUCAAAGUAGAUUACUGUCCCAUAACAACAGAGAUCACAGUAGAUUACAGCCUCACAACAACAGAGAUCACAGUAGGUUACAGCCUCACAACAACAGAGAUCACAGUAGAUUACUGUCCCAUAACAACAGAGAUCAUAGUUGGAUACGGCCUCAUAACAACAGAGAUCACAGUAGAUUACAGCCCCAUAACAACAGAGAUCACAGUAGAUUACUGUCCCAUAACAACAGAUAUCACAGUAGAUUACAGGCUCACAACAACAGAGAUCACAGUAGAUUACAGCCUCAUAACAACAGAGAUCACAGUAGAUUACAGCCUCACAACAACAGAGAUCACAGUAGAUUACAGCCUCAUAACAACAGAGAUCACAGUAGAUUACUGUCCCAUAACAACAGAGAUCACAGUAGAUUACUGUCCCAUAACAACAGAGAUCACAGUAGAUUACAGGCUCACAACAACAGAGAUCACAGUAGAUUAAUGUCCCAUAACAACAGAGAUCACAGUAGAUUACUGUCUCAUAACAACAGAGAUCACAGUAGAUUACAGCCUCACAACAACAGAGAUCACAGUAGAUUACUGUCCCAUAAAAACAGAGAUCACAGUAGAUUACAGUCCCAUAACAACAGAGAUCACAGUAGAUUACUGUCUCAUAACAACAGAGAUCACAGUAGAUUACAGGCUCACAACAACAGAGAUCACAGUAGGUUACAGCCUCAUAACAACAGAGAUCACAGUUGGUUACAGCCUCACAACAACAGAGAUCACAGUAGAUUACAGCCUCACAACAACAGAGAUCACAGUAGAUUACAGCCUCACAACAACAGAGAUCACAGUAGGUUACAGCCUCACAACAACAGAGAUCACAGUAGGUUACAGCCUCACAACAACAGAGAUCACAGUAGAUUACAGCCUCACAACAACAGAGAUCACAGUAGGUUACAGCCUCACAACAACAGGCAUUGAGAGUCAAGCAAUUUAAUAGAGAAACGGUCCUAACAGAAUGCUUUGUUGUUGACGCUAAGAGGAGAUAAGCAAGUUGCUUUUCUCCCUCUCUCCCUCUCUCUCUCUAUUCCUGCAGUUCUCUCUCCCUCUAGCUCUCUCGUUCUCUUUCUCUCCCUCUCUAUCUCCCUCUCUCUCUCCCUCUCUCCCUCUCUCCCUCUAUUCCUCCAGCUCUCUCUCCCUCUAGCUCUCUCUCUUUCUCUUUCUCUCCCGCUCUCCCUCUCUCUCCUCUCUCCCUCCAUCUCUCUCUUUCUCCUCUCUACCUCUCUCUCCAUCCCUCUCUCUCGCUCUCUCUCAGCAGGGUGUUAUGUAUGGGUUAAUUUAACCCUACCGGCUGUGUGGGUGUGUAGAUAAGAUCUGACAGUUAGCAGUAACAUUGGUG